rnacentral:rRNA from 1 species
GUUGAUCAUGGCUCAGAACGACGCUGGCGGUAUGCCUAACACAUGCAAGUCGUACGAGAGUUUUUAACUCUAGUGGCGGACGGGUGAGUAACACGUGAGAAUUUGCCUUUAGGAGGGGGACAACAAUUGGAAACGAAUGCUAAUACCCCAUAUGCUUUCGAGUGAAAUGGAUUUUAUCCGCCUAGAGAGAAGCUCGCGGCUGAUUAGCUUGUUGGUAAGGUAAGAGCUUACCAAGGCGACGAUCAGUAUCUGGUUUGAGAGGACGAUCAGACACACUGGAACUGAGACACGGUCCAGACUCCUACGGGAGGCAGCAGUGGGGAAUUUUCCGCAAUGGGCGAAAGCCUGACGGAGCAAUACCGCGUGAGGGAAGAAUGCCUAUGGGUUGUAAACCUCUUUUUCAGGGAGGAAUAAAAUGACGUGUACCUGAAGAAUAAGCAUCGGCUAACUCCGUG